UCCUGUCUUUGUCAUGUCUUGACUCGCUCCGAAAGUCUUUGGAGAACUUUCACUUUGUAUCAAAAGUCUUCCUCUUCUGCUUAAUGAGAAGACAGUUCCAACUCAAGAGAAUGAACUCUGACAAAAUCAUGAAAGAAUUUGAUGGGUAAAAAGAGAGGCAAUUAGAGAACACCCCAGACGACCGAAGUGGAUGAGCCCAGCACAGCAUCACAGUCUGCCUACCCUGUUUGGUUCCAAUCAAAAUCCUAGCAACCAGCAUUCUAUUAACUGACUGUUAAUUGUACAUGGUGUGAGAUCAGGAGAAAACAUUAUGUCCUGGAGGGGAACUUCAGAAAAGUAUAUAGAUCAUAUUCAAUUUCUGUUCAACUUUUGGCAAAUUCCAGUUUGCAGUGGAACACUCGGUGAUGGUAUCCUAUAACCUGGCACCCUAGACCUCGAGGACUUUCCCAAGAGUUCUAACAAACCAUUGUACCUGCACAAUACAUUUCCUGGCACAAAGGAAGCACUUGAUGAGUGCUUGUGGGAGUGGAUCCAUUUUUAAACACAAAUUCAGUUAUUAGUGUGAUGAGAAAAUCAUUGUUGGGCAUGAGGAAUCAUAAAUGCAAAGACCCCAAGACAAGGUGCCAGGGCCAUAAAGACAUUGAAAAGAGCUCAAAGCUAUCCUUGAGACUCUAGUUCUGUUCAUCCCUCCUCAUACAUUGCAUCUCAGAAAAAUGGAAGCAAGAGAGACAAGGUCCAAGGUCAUGUAUGUCCAUUCAUUUUUGGAAUGUGUGACAUCAUUCUCCUUCUCAUCCCUCCCUCUUGGAACCCCUGAAGUCUCGAUAGAAGCCAAAUAUUCUGAAGGAGGCCUUCCUUCGUGUUCCAGGCUGUUUGCUAGUGCCUCCCAUCCCUCUACCGAAUGUACUCUUUAUGCCCCUAUGUAAGUCCUGUGCAAUCAUCCUAUGAAUGGGCAGACGGCCAACCCUGCUGGACUGUAUGCUCUCUGAGGAGAGAGACUGUCCUAUUUUUAUCUCUACAUCGUUGCCACUUGGCACACUGUCUGUUGCAUAAUAGGAACUGAAUUAAAAAAAAACACCUUAUUAGUUGUUUCAUCUGAAUUUUGAUUUGUGAGCUUCUUUUGUGUGUGAAUAGAGAAGUUAUAGGACUCUCUGGGCCAUGUUUCUUACCUAGAAGACGGAACAAAAUAUACCUCCUACUACCAACUCGUGGGCUGUUUUGAAGAAAUCACUUUGAAAACUGUAAAGUCCAUAUUACAAGAGGUCAAUUCAUCAGUCAGAGAAUUAACAAAUAUACUAAGUGUUUCUAAUAGAGGAGGCAUCUGCUAGAUGUUAGGGAAAUAAAUAUGAAUAUGACAUAAUUUCUGUCCUGGAG
rnacentral:lncRNA from 1 species